rnacentral:lncRNA from 1 species
CCAAAUAAAGUUCUGAGAAAAAAGGAUAUGUAAAUUCUACUAGAUAGUGCAUAAUACGUCUACUCGAGUCUUCAUUUGUUCUUAACUAUCAAAGUUGACCCCUGACACAAUCUCGGCUUAAUUCCUCGGACUUUUACUCAGACUUCAAAGCUCUAAAUCACUGAAUUCAUUCCAUAACAUCUAUAUAGCUUGGAAUCACUCCUACAAGGCAUAAAACACAGAGUUAGUGCAAGACACUAGCGACUAAAUCUCAAACUCAGUUAAAGUGUAGUAAAUUAGAGUGUAAUAAGCGACUAAAAUACGUAAUUAUAGCCUAUCAUCAGUGUGACCGAACUGUAAGGAUGCCUAUGUAUUUUAAGGUGACAAGAAUCAGGUCAAAUGUAGUUCAAACACAAAGUUGGUUUUUUUUUCUUUUUCCUUUUUUUUCUUUUUUCCUUUUUUUCUUCUUUCUUUUUUUUUUCUUUUUCUCUUUUCCUUUUUUUCUUCUUCUUUUUCUCUUUUUCUUUUCCUUUUCUAGUUCCUAACUCUAUUUUUUAUUCCAAAAGAGGAGUAUGAAAGAAAAAAUUAAGGCUCAAAAGGGGGUAGGAAAGGAUAAAAAUGUUUGGGUAGUAGAAUAGAAUGCCUUCGUCAUACCCAACUUUAAAAAUGUGAGGUACGCGCAUGCAAUUGAAGAUAAUCAAAGAAAUCAUACACAAUAUAUAUUGAUGUCAUCAACACAAAAAGAAAGUGCCAAUGAGAAAUAUGUUUGUCUGAAUGAAUGUCCCUUGCAAGUUCGAAGCGGACUUGACUCAACCUUAUCUUGAUGUGGAAGAAUGAAUUUAAGCACUGAAUGAUUUAGCUCAAAUUGUUUGAGAGAUAUUUCCUUAUUAUGCUCUUAUCAACCUCUUGAUUUCCCAUACUUACUACCUCAGUUUCACUUAUUUCUAAGUUCAGGUCAUCUCAGAAUGCGUGAAUCUUUAAUUGUUUCCUCAAACGCAUCUUUUUAUCAUAUUCAAAAUUAUGUCAUUACUUCAUGAUUAGACUAACUUAUAAGACUAGGCUGAGAAUUAUGCAUGCAUGUCAUGUCACUAGAGUCAGCAUGAAAAAAACUAUAAAAGGAAAAGUGUUCUAAAAAAUUGACUAGAACUAACAGAAAAUAAAAUAUUGCAUUUGACAGAUGGUGAAAAGGGUUUGAACAAAACAAGAAAAAUAGGCAUGGGUUGCAAUCCUGGAACCAUACUAGAUAACACUGGAUGAAUUACUACAACUAAACGAACUAGGCAAAAUACGAAGAAGAAGGGUUUGAGCCACAAGAUAAUAUCUAGAUAACAACCAUGAAAUAACUUGAAAAACAUAAAUGACAACAAAAUAAACCACCAAAACUCCUCCCUGGCUAGCCAAGAAAGGACUGUCUUUCCAAUUACCAAGCUUGACACCUUAGCCAAUGGACUGCACAUCAAAAUUACUGGAACCUUCACCAUUUUCAAUAUCAUUAACUUCAGCCAGCAAGUUCCCAAGAGAAUUCUCAUACUACAUGUCACCAUGCAUCUUUCCCACAAAGUGUGCAUCAUUAUAUGUAGGUAAAGGAUUCUACACGAUGUUCUGGGUGUCACUGCCCUGAAUAACAAGUAUCCCUUCUUGAAUCAUUCUCUCUAUUUCUCUUUUCAAAUCCUGAUAACUUUCGACAUUGUGCCCCUGGGAAUUUGAAUGGUAUUCACACCUUUUAGAAGGAUCAAAGCUUCUUGCAUGUGGGUCCACAUGAUUCAGAGGAAUAUGUGUAAUCAUGUCGUAAUGCUUUAAUCUCUUAAACAAGCUUGCAUGUGACUCUCCUAUCAGUGUAAAAUUAUCUUUCAACCUUUGUUUACCUCUAUACCCCUGGCUUGGAUGUAGGUUAUGGGGCAAUUAAAAAUUUUGUGGAGAUCUUGUGGUGCUGGUGCUCGCCAUAAGGAGUAACCCAAUGGUUGGAUAGAGGGCUGGAUAUUAUUAGGAGGAUAGUUCUGAGGUGGAUUACGUAGAACUUGGGGAUAGGUUUAGAGUUGGGGUCGAUGCUGAGUAUAUUGGUGAGGCAGACUCGUUGGGCCAUGUCGCGAUCCUGAGACGACUAUGGCCAUAUCACCACACUUCUUCUACACGGCAAGCUUCCUGUAUCAUUCUGAAUUGUCUGUGUUGUUGUUUUUAAGGCAGAAUAGAUCAUGAUCUUCUUGACUUCAGUCCCUCUUCCACAAUUUCUCCCAUAUUUACCACAUCAUUGAAAUCCUUACCGAUGGCUGAGAUCAAAUGGCCGAAGUAAGUAGGCUCUAGUGUUUGAAGAAAGUAUUCAACCAUCUCAUCUUCUUCCAUCGGAGGAUUGACUCAUGCAGUUUUCUCCCUCCAUCGGAACCUAUAUUCUCUAAAGCGUUCACUGGGCUUCUUUUCUACCUUGGUCAGGGACAGACGAUCCGGGACAAUAUACAUGUUGACCGGAAAAUGGCGAGCAAAGGCCUAAGCCACAUCAUCACAUGUGUAUCACCUGGUGGCGUCCUGGCGGGUGUACCAUUCUAGAGCUGCCCCAUUCAGACUCUAGCUGAAUUACGCCAUCAGUAAUUCAUCUUUUCCCGUGGUGCCUCUCAUUUUACUGUAGUAACCUCUCAGAUGAGCUACAAGAUCCUCAUAUUUGUCAUACAAGUCAAAAUCGGGCAUCUUAAACCCGACAUGUAGUUGAACAUCAGCGAACAAACACAAAUCCUUAUAAGCCACACUCACUUGGCUUCCUAACCCUUGCAUAUUUCUUAAUGAUUGCUCCAGACUCUUUACCUUCCUAAAUAUUUCCUCUUGCUCCGUGUUCUUGGGUGGUCUCUUAGUUUCAACAUGAGGCUCAAAGUGGGGAGUGUAGGAGUAAGGAUCUGGGACUUCGAAGAUGGGUUUCGAGGGGAUAAUAUUGGGUAUAUGGAGCUGGGAAUGCGGGCUUACUAGAGGAUUGGUGGAUAGUAUCUUGCGAAGGGUGUAAAAAAAUGGGAGCAGAUGCCGGAGCAUGGUAUGAGGUUGUUUUAGCUGGUAUAGCAUGGAAAGUUUGGGAAGAAGUUCCAUGGUAAUUGUGGUAAGGGGUAAAGCCUAGUGCAUGUUGAGGGAAAAGGUCAGCGGUAGUGAGAAUCUAGGCUUCUGAUAGUGGUGGGAUAGUUGUAGGGUUUCCAGUGUAGUUAGUGGGGAAUGAAAGUGGAGGAUGCCCCCUGACAAGACUGAUAUAUUUUUAUCAUAUGUUGUUUUAACCUUUGGACAUCCUCUUUUAAUUCAAACUCCGACUCCACAAACUCUUUUGAUGGGUCAACAACUCCUGUCUCCAAGUCUUUGCUCGUCAUAUCUACCUUGCUCUUUGACCUUGUGUUGUACAGAUGGCUCGCGAAAGUGCCACAAACUAACCACCCUCUGUUAUGAUAAUAAUUAAAGUAACAAUGGGAGCAAAACAAAGCCGACAUAUUAGCGUUAGGACAUUUUUCAGAUAAAAAUAUCACAUUAUUUGCAAUGCCCCUAGAAACAAUUAACGGUUCUAGAAUGAAUUCGAGGGUCACAAGGUCAUUUGGAAUCAUCCCAAUUUUGUUCAUUUCAACCUUCUCUUUUCUUUCUCUUAUAGCGCGUCUUGGCUUGCUCAUUUUCCUUCCGCUCUUUUUCUUUUUAAUUGUCACUCUUUUCUUUCCUCUCAUUUCUCACAUACACAACUUCAUUUUUGUUUUCUUUUCUCUCUCUUUUUUUCUCUCUUUUUUCAAAAAAAAAAAUGAUUCAAUCGAACCUUAUGUAGUUUGCCUAUCUAUCAUAUCCAUCAUGAAUCAGAUCAAGCGUAGUUCUGAAAAAUAAUGGACAUAAUAAAUUAAGAAAUAGAAAUAUUUUUAGAUUUUUCAUUUAUAAUUUUUUUCCGAUUUUCAAAUACAAAAUAGGAAGUACGACAAUGAGAUACUCGACCAACUAAACUAUUCUAUGACAACUCUGAUCCAUAGAAGAGUGGAUAGAAGUGAAAACUCAACAAAGGUGACCUAAAAGACAUGUGAAUACCUCACUAAGGCUUAUGUGGAUUCAAACUCCUAAUAAUCAUGGCCCAAAAUCAAUUCGCAGAAAUGACCCAUUUUACAAAAACGACCGAUAAGGCUAGAAGUGGCCAAAGAUACAAACUCAAAAAGGAUGGACCUUAAAGUAAUAUGAUACCUAGUUGUGGACUCGAGAUCCUAAGACAUGAAUUAUUGAACCACUUUUGUGAAAAUGACCCUAUUUUACAAGAAUGACCGAUGUGGUCAAAAGUGGCUACACAUGAAAGAUUUCGCUAAAAUCUCGCAAAGCCAAGAAACUAAGAAUUACUAGGAAGACCAGGCCCUAUAUGGAUUGCCUACGUAUCACGUCUCGAAAUACGAGAAUCAAGUUCGCAUAGUUCGGGAAGACCGGAUAUAGGAAAAGCCUUUUUAAAAAAAUGCCACUAAUUUGGAAAAACUAUCCCUUUUUUUCUUCUUUUUUAUAAAAAUUGAUGGAAAAUGUGAAAAAAAAUUGGUUUUUUUUCUCUUUUUUGUGAUUUUGUUUUUUUGAAAAUGGUGGAAAGUGAAAAAUCCUUUUGAAUUCUUUUUGUUUUCAAUUUUUUUUGGGUCUCUUCUUGAAAAGGUUGUGAAAGAAAAAUGUAACUAAGCCCUACUUGCUUCAUUUUCUACCCUUCUUUCCCAAGCAUCAGUCUGCAAAAUGGCUUUUUUACCCUCAAAGAUGCAACAUGUAUUACAUAGAGAUGGUUGAAUUUCUUUUUGGGCCACGAGUCCAUUUUGACAAAAUUUGGAUAGUCCUCCAGCAAAGAGACACAGUACCUGGGACCGAGCCCUGCUAGGUCUAAAUGAUAUGAUAUAAAUAAAAAUGACCUAAAGGCUGACCUAAGUUUAGGUUCACUAACAAGGAAAUUCGGGGGAGCAUAUGGUCGAUUGUGGUUGCUCAAGCUUUCCAUCCACUCCAUACAUCUAAUGGCCUCCAACCUAAAAUAAGGGUGACUCAACAAAUAGUUCGUGCACGCGACACAUACUUUGAGACUUUUUGCAGAAAUAAGACCCAUGGUUAUGCAAAUGAUGACAGUUCGUAAAGCAGUAACACAUAAAGGAAAAAUAGUACACAAAUAAGCAACUAGAAAAUAAAAUGACAUAAACAAAAUAAAAAUCAAAUAAAGCAAACCAAACACAUAAAACCUCAACCGAAUAUCCUAAAAACUAACAAGAUCAAGUACUAGCUCAAACCUGCAAGUUCUCAACUGAGUCGCCAGAGCUGUCAUACCCCUUUUUUACACCUCAAUUAACCCUCUUAAAAAUAAAUAAAAGGAUUUUUGAAGCUCAAAAAGGUUAUUAAUUAAAAAGUGAUAAAAUUAUGUUCAAAAUAAAAUAACUCAUAGUUGCCACCUAACAUUGGUUUCGGAGUGCCAGGUCACCGUUUUAAAAAAAACGAUUUUCCCUUAAAACACUUUGGACUCCAAACUAAGUCUACACCAGAGAUUCGGGUAAGGGAGUUCAUUUGACUCGGGGAGAAGGUGUUAGGCACUCCCCAAGUCCUGUAGCUAGUACAGUUACAUACUUGAUCUAGUUGGCUUUUUAAAAUAUUUAAAUUGAAGUAAAAAUAAAAACAUAAAGGAAAAAUAAACACUUAAUAAAACAUUGUUGAAUUAGCUGACAGAACAAGCGAAUGGUAUUUUGAUUUAAGUUCACCCAAUCCUCUAAGCCCUUACAACAACAACAACAAUCCAGUAUAAUUUCAAUUAGUGGGGUCUGGAGAAGGUAGUGUGUACGCAGACUUUAUCCCUACCCUGGGGUAGAGAGGUUGUUUCCAAAUAGACCCCCGACAUCUUUCCCUCCAAGAACUUCCCACCUUGCUUUUGGGGAGACUCGAACUCACAUCCUCUAAGCCCUUAUUCUUGAAAAAUAGGCAUAUGGGACAAAAUAAAAGCAAAAAUAAAAUACUAUUCUAUGCUUCCUCAAACUGUUCCGUCUUUGGCCUUUAUUUACAUUCACUUCGGGGCAUACCCCUGAUAAAAAUAUAUACAAAGUCUUAGGUGCAUUCCCCGAAUGAAUUUAACUAAGGGGCGACCUUUCACCAUAAAAAAAGCUAAAAUAUAAACGUCCUAUUGGUUUGCCUACCCAAAUAUGGCCGGCCUAGACAUGCUUCUAGCGGGUAAAUUAAUAAAUGCAAAGAAGGAAAUGAGGGAAAUCAACCUAAGAUAAAAUCAUUUUAAUGGCUAGUUAUCAAACGAUCUGUCUUAGCAUUCCAAAUCAUUUUUGAACCUUUAAAUUCCGAACCUCAAUCGCAUUUCUAUUGAUAAACAUCAUAUAUCCAUUAAUUUCUAUGUGGGAUUCAGCACAUACAAGUAAUUCAAAGCUGACAUUACAAGCAACAAAUGUACAAGGACAUAGACCACAACCAAAAAUAAGCAAACAAGCUCAACAAAAAGUAAAACAAGAUGCAAUUUGACAGAACUCAAACCAACCAAGAACAUUAAUUCAUUAUAUUAUCAUAGCAUAUGAAAAAUAACAGCACACAUAAUAUAGAGAAGGAGAUUAGAGGGACCUCAAAAACAGAAUCUGACUGUAGCCGUUCCAAAGAUUUGAAGCACGAUUAUCCAAGAUCGCAUGCAAGUACUUGACAAAAACUUUGGAAUAGGACCUGGACCGGGAAAUCGAAUGGCGACCUUGAUCGGCAAUAAGUACUCAAAUUUUAAAAACGAGAAAAGAAGCAGGAUGUAGCGGAUGAUAAACGAUAUAAAACUCAGCUGGGCAGAAACAACUUCAGUGAACAAACGACAAACUUUGACCUAAAACAAAACCUCUUAGGAAUCUAGAUUUUAGAAGUUUUCCUUUCUUGGUUUUCAGAUCUAUUUACCCGUAAAAUAAAGAACAAAGUGAGAAAUGUGGAAGGAAAAUGGUUAAGCAAUGCUCGGCAUUGUCGCUUGCCAUCACCGGUGAGUAACUUUGAUUAGCGGCAAAGAUGGAGGAUUAACAACCAGGGCAAGGAGGAGGGUAAUGCAGCUGGAGUCAUUUCUUUCUUUGUUCGUGUGCCACGACUGUUUGUUGUGUGUUAGAAGGGUGUUCGGCGAUCUACUUCUUGAGGGGUUAGCCGCUAGACUUUUUUGGUGAAGAAAAAGGAGGUGAGUAAGGGUGUUAGUUUUGGAGAGGGUGACGGCUUGGUUCAGCUUUUAAAAGGUGAGAGUGUGGUGGUCAUAUGGCUGACGAGCGGUGGAUUUGGUCUUGGAGAAGCCGGCAGAGGAAGCUUGGUGGUGGGCGGCGGCUGGUGGUCUCUUGGAGAUUCUCUGGGGUUUAUUAAGUUAGGUUUUUUGUGUAAUAUUGGAAAUCUAUAUGGUGCUAAGAUGGGAUAUAGGCUAUUAGAUUAGAAUAGAAUAGAAGGUG